UGAGGAAUUGCACAUCAUGAGUGAAUGGCAGAUAAUAGUCUUAAGUUUUGUCUACACUAGCACUUUUGUCAGUCAGGAGUGUUAAAAAAAACAAAAUACAAACAACCACCCUAGACUGACAAGUUUUACCGACAAAAGCGCUGGUGUGAACAGCACUGUGUUGGUGAGCGACACUCUCCCGCCAACAUCGCUACCGCCACUUGUUGGGGGCGGUUUAAUUAUGCCAGCAGGAGAGCUCUCUUCCUUCAGCAUAGAGCGACUAUACAGGAGACCUUACAGCUGCCGCAGUACAGCUGUGUCACUGUAAGGUCUGCAGUGUAGACACAGCCUAGGUGUACAGUUGCCAACCAAUAGGCAGAAACGUAAUCACAUUAUUUGAAGACUUAUGAAGAUACGUUUGCAGAAGUCUGGAUCAGCCCCCAAACAACCCGCAAAAAAAGGAUUGAAUUAAUUGGACCGUUUAUUUACAGUGAGUAAUUCCAUCAACUCCAAUGCCCAGGUAAAAGUCUCGCUCACUAGUUUUGGAAGAUGUAAAUUGAUGUAAAGAUUUAAAUAUUAAACCACAUCAUUGUACUCUACCAGCCUUAGAGAAACUCCCUCCCUCCCAGUGUGACUUUGUGAAGGACGUGUGCUUUAAAGAUGCCUCAGAGGAGCAGUAUAGAUGUAGAUGGGGAACUGGAGCAGAGAGAGACGGUGUGUAACCACGAGCAUGUAACUCUGUCUGUAGCAGAGCCAGGAGUUGAAGCCAGAUCUCGAGUCCCAAUGUGGUACCUUAAUCAUGAGACCAUCCACCCAAGAAACUUCAUAGUCAUUGACAUAGUUGGCUGACAGUGACUCAGAACCAGAAAAGGCUUUUAGCUCUGAUGAUACAGAACGGAAACAUGCAUGUUGCAAAUUUACUGUUUUCUGGAAGGAAAUAAAGAUGUGUUGGUAAAUCUA